UUUCGCAAUGCCCGAAAGGGUGACGAAGCGACGCCGCGUGGGUGAGGAAGGCCUUCGGGUUGUAAGGCCCUGUCAGGAGUUAAGAAAUGUAAGUGCGCUAAUAUCGCAUUUAUUUGACAAAGGCUCCAAAGGAAGCCACGGCUAACUCUGUGCCAGCAGCCGCGGUAAUACAGAGGUGGCAAGCGUUGUUCGGAAUUAUUGGGCGUAAAGAGCACGUAGGUGGGUUUGUAAGUCAGAUGUGAAAGCCUUCUGUUCAACGGAAGAAUUGCAUCUGAAACUACAAGUCUUGAGUGUAGGAGGGGAGAAUGGAACUUCUGGUGGAGCGGUGAAAUGCGUAGAUAUCAGAAGGAACGCCGGCGGCGAAAGCGAUUCUCUGGCCUAUUACUGACACUCAGUGUGCGAAAGCUAGGGGAGCAAACGGGAUUAGAUACCCCGGUAGUCCUAGCCGUAAACGAUGGGCACUAAGUAGAGGGGUUUUA
rnacentral:rRNA from 1 species